GACGAACGCUGGCGGCGUGCUUAACACAUGCAAGUCGUACGGAAAGGCCUCUUUCGGGGGGUACUCGAGUGGCGAACGGGUGAGUAACACGUGAGUAACCUGCCCUUGACUUUGGGAUAACUUCAGGAAACUGGGGCUAAUACCGGAUAGGAGCUCCUGCUGCAUGGUGGGGGUUGGAAAGUUUCGGCGGUUGGGGAUGGACUCGCGGCUUAUCAGCUUGUUGGUGGGGUAGUGGCUUACCAAGGCUUUGACGGGUAGCCGGCCUGAGAGGGUGACCGGCCACAUUGGGACUGAGAUACGGCCCAGACUCCUACGGGAGGCAGCAGUGGGGAAUAUUGCACAAUGGGUGGAAGCCUGAUGCAGCAACGCCGUGUGCGGGAUGACGGCCUUCGGGUUGUAAACCGCUUUCGCUCAUGACGAAGCUUUGUGUGACGGUAGUGGGUAAAGAAGCACCGGCUAACUACGUG
rnacentral:rRNA from 1 species